ACCUACCCUUGACAUGUCCGGAACUUGCCAGAGAUGGCUUGGUGCCCGAAAGGGAAUCGGAACACAGGUGCUGCAUGGCUGUCGUCAGCUCGUGUCGUGAGAUGUGGGUUAAGUCCCGCAACGAGCGCAACCCUUAUCAUUAGUUGCUACGCAAGGGCACUCUAAUGAGACUGCCGGUGACAAACCGGAGGAAGGUGGGGAUGACGUCAAGUCCUCAUGGCCCUUAUGGUAGGGCUUCACACGUCAUACAAUGGUCGGUACAGAGGGUUGCCAAGCCGCGAGGCGGAGCCAAUCCCACAAAGCCGAUCGUAGUCCGGAUUGUUCUCUGCAACUCGGGAGCAUGAAGUCGGAAUCGCUAGUAAUCGCAGGUCAGCAUACUGCGGUGAAUACGUUCCCGGGUCUU
rnacentral:rRNA from 1 species